rnacentral:rRNA from 1 species
GAUGAACGCUGGCGGCGUGCUUAACACAUGCAAGUCGAACGAAGCACCUUGAUUUGAUUCUUCGGAUGAAGAUCCUGGUGACUGAGUGGCGGACGGGUGAGUAACGCGUGGGUAACCUGCCUCAUACAGGGGGAUAACAGUUAGAAAUGACUGCUAAUACCGCAUAAGACCACAGCACCGCAUGGUGCAGGGGUAAAAACUCCGGUGGUAUGAGAUGGACCCGCGUCUGAUUAGGUAGUUGGUGGGGUAACGGCCUACCAAGCCGACGAUCAGUAGCCGACCUGAGAGGGUGACCGGCCACAUUGGGACUGAGACACGGCCCAAACUCCUACGGGAGGCAGCAGUGGGGAAUAUUGCACAAUGGGGGAAACCCUGAUGCAGCGACGCCGCGUGAGCGAUGAAGUAUUUCGGUAUGUAAAGCUCUAUCAGCAGGGAAGAAAAUGACGGUACCUGACUAAGAAGCACCG